UGGCUCAGAGGUUAAAGCGUCUGCCUGCAAUGCAGGAGACCUGGGUUCGAUCCCUG
rfam:TPA: Bos taurus chromosome 20, whole genome shotgun sequence.